CGCUCACCAUUCUGCAGAAUAAGGAUCAGAACUUUACAGAGRUAAACUGUGUCUGUUCUUUUUACUAUUACAGCAGUUCAUCGUGGCCCUGUCAUUCGCCUCCUUCACCAAAGCUCAGUCAGGGACCUACAUGAAGAGUGCCAUCACUCAGAGAGACACUUUGACCUGUCCAGCUCUCUCAUCGGACUCAUAGACGGCAGCUUUGAGAUGGGUAACCUGCUGUUCCUGGCUGUGGUCAGCCAUUUUGGGGC